rnacentral:rRNA from 1 species
GAUGAACGCUGACAGAAUGCUUAACACAUGCAAGUCAACUUGAACUUCGGUUUGGGUGGCGGACGGGUGAGUAACGCGUAAAGAACUUACCUCACAGAUAGGGACAACAUUUGGAAACGAAUGCUAAUACCUGAUAUUAUGAUUUUAGGGCAUCCUAGGAUUAUGAAAGCUAUAUGCGCUGUGAGAGAGCUUUGCGUCCCAUUAGCUAGUUGGAGAGGUAACGGCUCACCAAGGCGAUGAUGGGUAGCCGGCCUGAGAGGGUGAUCGGCCACAAGGGGACUGAGACACGGCCCUUACUCCUACGGGAGGCAGCAGUGGGGAAUAUUGGACAAUGGACCAAGAGUCUGAUCCAGCAAUUCUGUGUGCACGAUGAAGUUUUUCGGAAUGUAAAGUGCUUUCAGUUGGGAAGAAAAAAAUGACAGUACCAACAGAAGAAGUGACGGCUAAAUACGUGCCAGCAGCCGCGGUAAUACGUAUGUCACAAGCGUUAUCCGGAUUUAUUGGGCGUAAAGCGCGUCUAGGUGGUUAUAUAAGUCUGAUGUGAAAAUGCAGGGCUCAACUCUGUAUUGCGUUGGAAACUGUGUAACUAGAGUACUGGAGAGGUAAGCGGAACUACAAGUGUAGAGGUGAAAUUCGUAGAUAUUUGUAGGAAUGCCGAUGGGGAAGCCAGCUUACUGGACAGAUACUGACGCUGAAGCGCGAAAGCGUGGGUAGCAAACAGG